CCUAGGCCAAAGCGAACGCGCGCGGGUGGUCUAACACAUGCAAGUUGAGCGGUGAUCUAUCUUUUGAUAUUUCGGCAGCGGCGAACGGGUGAGUGAAACAUGGGAAAAGCUACCGUAUGGUUGGGGUUGCUCCUUGAUAUCCUG
rnacentral:rRNA from 13 species